rnacentral:lncRNA from 7 species
GUUUAAAUACCUGUGUUUACAACUUGUCUUCUGUAAAGAGCCUUAGUUCUUCAUAUUCAGACUUCUUGCUUUUGGACUUCUUGAAAGAGUCUUCUCAUUUGAAGUCUCCUCUCUUACCCCAAGCUGAGGGAAGAAGAUAGCUUGCCCAUGAAUGAGGACAUGGGGCUGGGGGGAUAGAGAAACUUCUGAGGUGGUUUUUCAUUUCACUAACUGUCUCCUCUCUGAUGUUCAUUGGAGUCUUUCCAUUGAUUCAGUAGUUAUCAGGCUGGGUCUUUACACAACACCUGACUUGAUGGCAUUGAAGGCAGCACUUCACAUUUUAUUAGCUAAAUAGAGAAAAUAAGUGCUGUGAAAACAAACUUCAAUGCUGGUGAAUGUUUCUCCUGAAAGAAAUAAAAAUGGUAGUCUAGAUUCCUGGUUUAGGAAGAACAUCAGCACAUCAACUUGAAUUUCUUUGUCUUCCUUAUUGUUGGUUGGACUGCAGUAGAAUAUACUAGGAAAGACUACGUGAAGAUAUCUUUGAUUUUUUGCUAAGAUGAUUAGAGUGAAUUACAUUUUUUUAAAAUCCAGUUUAAUAUAUAGUCUUAGUACAGUAUCUGAUCAAAAGUGAAAAGUAUCCCUCAUGAAAACAUGAGAAAAGUUCUCAGGUCCAGAUGAAGUUUACAUUGUUUGCUCUAUGUCUUCUGACUCCUGAUCUCUUGCUUUAAUGCAAGAUGAUCCGCAGCCUGUAGCACAAAAGCUUCCACAGUGAAGCACUGACUCCCUGUGAGACUUGAUGCCUUUUAGAUGUUUGUUGCUAACAAAAUAUGGAGUCUCACAACUGAGGUACUAAAAGAGACCCUCAAAAUGUUAUGCAAGCAAAGUUAAUGCAAUAGAAGUUCCCAACUUUUUGUGAUAAUUCCAACAAAAGGCACUAGAGAAUUAAAGGUCUUUGGGGAAGAAAAGCAACUUACACCUGAUCUCAAGAGUACUGAAUAAACAAGUGUAAAUUG